GAAACGACUCCACGCCGAUGAUAGUGCGGAUUGCCCGUGUGAAAGUAGGUAAUCGUCAGGC
rnacentral:rRNA from 2 species